AGAGCGAACGCUGGCGGCAGGCCUAAUACAUGCAAGUCGAACGAGCCCUUCGGGGUUAGUGGCGGACGGGUGAGUAACACGUGGGAACGUGCCUUUUGGUUCGGAACAACUCAGGGAAACUUGAGCUAAUACCGAAUGUGCCCUUCGGGGGAAAGAUUUAUCGCCAUUAGAGCGGCCCGCGUCUGAUUAGCUAGUUGGUGAGGUAAAGGCCCACCAAGGCUACGAUCAGUAGCUGGUCUGAGAGGAUGAUCAGCCACACUGGGACUGAGACACGGCCCAGACUCCUACGGGAGGCAGCAGUAGGGAAUCUUGCGCAAUGGGCGAAAGCCUGACGCAGCCAUGCCGCGUGAAUGAUGAAGGUCUUAGGAUUGUAAAAUUCUUUCAGCGGGGACGAUAAUGACGGUACCCGCAGAAGAAGCCCGGCUAACUUCGCGCCAGCAGCCGC
rnacentral:rRNA from 1 species